GCCGGGUUAGCUCACUUGGUUAAAGCGUAGCAUUUACACUACCAUGGCGCGGGUUUGAUCCCCGUUCGUACCAUCCGGCA